rnacentral:rRNA from 1 species
UACAGAGGUCUCAAGCGUUGUUCGGAUUCAUUGGGCGUAAAGGGUGCGUAGGUGGCGCCGUAAGUCGGGGUGUGAAAUUUCGGAGCUUAACUCCGAAACUGCAUUCGAUACUGCGGUGCUUGAGGACUGGAGAGGAGACUGGAAUUCAUGGUGUAGCAGUGAAAAUUGCGUAGAGAUCAUGAGGAAGACCAGUGGCGAAGGCGGGUCUCUGGACAGUUCCUGACACUGAGGCACGAAGGCCAGGGGAGCAAACGGG